GUAUAUGGCAGUGCUGGUUUGACAUCACAAUGGGAACCUGCAGAACCGACCUUUCAUUCCUUUCCAAUUAAAUGGCUGCUGACUGUUUGACUGUUGAGCCUUAGGCUUAAGAGUCCUAAGAUGGAGGCAAGGCAACUCAUCCCCUCAAAUAAAGAGAAAAAAUGAAAAAUGGGUUGCUUUCAUCCUCUAAUUUGUGGUAUUUUUACCUCCAUUUUCCUUUUUCUGUUUUGGAUUUUUUGGAGGGGAGAGCAGGGGUGUAAUUUAGGGAGGUUGAUGUGAUCCAAUUCGAAUCUAACCCUACAUUUAGACUAUCUUAAAUAAUCAUAGAUAAUCAUUUUAAAUACUCAAAUUGAGUUUUAAUUAAGUUUUUUCAAAUCGAAAUCAAUUUGGGGUGGACUCGGGUUUAGAUUCAAACAACUUGAGUCUAACCCGAAUUCAAUUUAAUAUUUUAAAAUUAUAUAUAAUGCAUAUUAUUUUAUAUAAUGAUAAUUUUUUUUUUUUUAAAAAAACAUCAAAUUAUAUUAUAUUAUAUUAUAUGACUGGCAGUUGGAUAGACCAAUUUGAUGAUGGCAAGUCAGCCAAUGCAUCUUGCUUGGCCACACAUGGCCCUUGAGAAAAAUAAAACUACCAAUUUAAAAAGUGUGACAGCUACGUAAUUGGGUAAUGUUAGUGUUGUUGCUUGAUUGUUUCCAGGGAAAAUUCCAGAAAGUUUAUAAAUAAAGAACAUAUUAAUUACUUGAUACUGAGGUAGACUAUAGAAGCUUCUUGGAAGCAGACUGGCCUCCAGAGAUUUCUUAGGUGUUCGACAUACUUCUCCCUACUUUUUCAAGUCAUAGAAAGCGUGUAUAUGGCAGUGCUGGUUUGACAUCACAAUGGGAACCUGCAGAACCGACCUAUUAUUGCUUUCCAAUUAAAUGGCUGCUGACUGGUUGACUGUUGAGUCUUAAGCUUAAGAGUCCAAAGAUGGAGGCAAGACAACUCAUCCCCUCAAAUAAAGAGACAAAAAAGAAAAAUGGGUUGCUUUCAUCCUCUAAUUUGUGGUAUUUUUACCUCCAUUUUCCUUGUUUUGGAUUCUUGGGAGGGGAGAGCAGGGAGUAAUUUAGACAGG
rnacentral:lncRNA from 1 species